rnacentral:lncRNA from 1 species
AGUAUAACAUGUGUGGAGAAGAACCCUCUAGCUAGUCCGUCAUUUAUCAUUUUACCUUAAUUUUACGUUUUUAUCAAUUCUGUAAUUUAAUUAAAUUUAAUUUACUUUUCAUCAAAACCAAACACCCAUCCAUUAUUAAAUUAUUUUAUUUAGUUAGUUUUCUUUAUUGUUAGUCUUUUAAUUUAAUUUCCGUCCAUUUCAGUUCCUAGUGUUUAAUUUAAUUGUUUUCAUUAUUUUGAGUCAUUUUAAGUGUGUUUCGAGUUAUUAGAGUUUUUAGCCUAAUUUUGUGUCCUUGACUCUUAUUUAAUAUUUUUAAAUUAAUUUAGAGUAGAUUAGCAAUCCCUCCUAAUCCCCGGCCUAGAACGAUACCCUACUUACAUCUAUACUACAAUUGUCAAAAAGAGGGUUUAAUUUGUGUGUCAAGAAAUUCUCACAUCAAAUUUUGGCGCCGUUGCCGGGGAUUAGUAACUUUGCUAAUCCUUUUAUUUUUGUUUUUGUUUAUGUUUAUAUUGGUGUUUGUGUAUUUUACUUUUGAUAUUUGAUUUAUUUUUCUUUCUUUGAUUUUAGGUUCAAAUGGAGCCGAGGGAAAUUUAAAGGAAAGAUGCGUCCGGCUAAAGACGUUAAAUCAAGCGCUUCUUGGGAGGCAACCCAAGCAUUCAACGAAGGGAGACUUUGGAAUCGCUAACCCAAUCAGAUUUGCAUUUUUA